rnacentral:rRNA from 1 species
GAUCAGGGCUCAGGAUGAACGCUAGCUACAGGCUUAACACAUGCAAGUCGAGGGGCAGCAUGGUCUUAGCUUGCUAAGGCCGAUGGCGACCGGCGCACGGGUGAGUAACACGUAUCCAACCUGCCGUCUACUCUUGGACAGCCUUCUGAAAGGAGGAUUAAUACAAGAUGGCAUCAUGAGUCCACAUGUUCACAUGAUUAAAGGUAUUCCGGUAGACGAUGGGG